CGAGGGUGGCAGGAGUCAUGGGCGUUUUCAAGCAAGAAGUUUUCCUACAAUCAUUUAACAGAAUUCACAUUAGCUUCACUCUACGACUCACACUCACCCAAAUGUCCCAUCUGGUUGUUGAAAAUGUUUGGACCCUCGAGGACUUCGUCGGUCUUCCUGCUGCCCAGACCUGCUGGGUCCAGAGGUGGAUCUUCAACACCAACUUUGGACGGUGGUGGAGGGCCUAAAGGCAUGGCACCUGGUGGAGGAAAACCUGGCAGAAAAAAGGCAAGUCUCUCUCAAAAAAAAAGGCCCAAAUCAGCAUGAACUUCAACUCCGUGUAAGGAGGAGAGAAAAGGGAGAUGGAUGCAUGAGUUGCUACCUGGCGGCAUCUGCAGAGGGUUAAAGCCAGGUCUCAGGAAAGGAGGAGGGGGGACACCUGGCGGGAAAGAAGGCGGAGGCAUGCCUAUGGGACCCGGGAAGACAGGAGGCUGGAGGGAACCGACGCCGACCAUCGGUUGCUGCAUUGGUGGAACCUGAGAACAUAAGCAGAGGAGCUGGCGCAGCCACAGGUAUCACUUGUGGCUCUUCGUGCUGCUGCUGGUCUGAACGACCAUUGUGGCUCCUCCAACUGGUCUUCCCUGACUUUAGACCACGUUCUUUGUAGCCACUCACUCACCUUGAUGGAUUUCUGGUUCACCUUGUACGACCCUCGGCUGAGCUUCUGCAGAGCCCUGAAGGCGUCUUGUCGAUGUAUCAUAACAAUGUAAGCACAGCCACGUGGAGG